GAGAAAGGCUCGUCAGCAACGAUAACUGCUAACUUUCGUCACCUCAGUUAGACCCUGGGGCUCUCUCG
rnacentral:tRNA from 1 species